rnacentral:rRNA from 1 species
GGGUAGUUUGACUGGGGCGGUCUCCUCCCAAAGAGUAACGGAGGAGCACGAAGGUUAGCUAAUCACGGUCGGACAUCGUGAGGUUAGUGCAAAGGCAUAAGCUAGCUUGACUGCGAGAGUGACGGCUCGAGCAGGUACGAAAGUAGGUCUUAGUGAUCCGGUGGUUCUGAAUGGAAGGGCCAUCGCUCAACGGAUAAAAGGUACUCCGGGGAUAACAGGCUGAUACCGCCCAAGAGUUCAUAUCGACGGCGGUGUUUGGCACCUCGAUGUCGGCUCAUCACAUCCUGGGGCUGAAGUAGGUCCCAAGGGUAUGGCUGUUCGCCAUUUAAAGUGGUACGCGAGCUGGGUUUAGAACGUCGUGAGACAGUUCGGUCCCUAUCUGCCGUGGGCGUUGGAAGAUUGAGAGGGGUUGCUCCUAGUACGAGAGGACCGGAGUGAACGCACCACUGGUGUUCGGGUUGUCAUGCCAAUGGCAUUGCCCGGUAGCUAAGUGCGGAAAAGAUAAGCGCUGAAAGCAUCUAAGCGCGAAACUUGCCUCAAGAUGAGUCUUCCCUGGGCCUUUAAGGCCCCUGAAGGAACGUUUAAGACUAAGACGUUGAUAGGCUGGGUGUGUAAGUGCAGCGAUGCAUUGAGCUAACCAGUACUAAUGAUCCGUGAGGCUUAACC